GCUCUCCCUUCUUUCUUACAACCUAUUUUAGUUUUAGGACAAGACUUUGGGAUUUAAGACAAAGACUUAUCUGGUCCAAAAAUAUAUUAGAAAGAUCUUAAAAAAGGGCAAUCAGAAGUCCAGGAGAAGAUCUAAGAGGAUCAAAUCAGGAUCUUGGAGAAGCCUGACCGAUACAGGGCUAGUCGAGUUCUAGGAGCUAGAAUUCUUGAAGCA
rnacentral:lncRNA from 1 species